rnacentral:rRNA from 1 species
UACGGAGGGUGCGAGCGUUGUUCGGAAUUACUGGGCGUAAAGCGCGUGUAGGCGGAUCUAGAAGUCGGGUGUGAAAGCCCUGGGCUUAACCCAGGAAGUGCGCCCGAAACCAUAGGUCUUGAGGUCCGGAGGGGAUCGGGGAAUUCCCAGUGUAGAGGUGAAAUUCGUAGAUAUUGGGAGGAACACCGGCGGCGAAGGCGCCGAUCUGGACGGAUUCUGACGCUGAGACGCGAAAGCGUGGGUAG